UACGGAGGAUCCAAGCGUUAUCCGGAAUUACUGGGCGUAAAGAGUUGCGUAGGUGGCGUGGUAAGCAGAUAGUGAAAGCGUGUGGCUCAACCAUACAUCCAUUAUCUGAACUGCCAAGCUAGAAGACGAGAGAGGUAGAUGGAAUUCCCAGUGUAGGAGUGAAAUCCGUAGAUAUUGGGAGGAACACCGAUGGCGUAAGCAGUCUACUGGCUCGUUCUUGACACUAAGGCACGAAAGCGUGGGGAGCAAACGGG
rnacentral:rRNA from 1 species